AAUCACAAAAGAAGUGAAAACGCCCUGCCCCGCCUUAACUGAUGACAUUCCACCAUUGUGAUUUGUUCCUGCCCCACCUUAGCUGAGUGAUUAACCCUGUGAAUUUCCUUCUCCUGGCUCAGAAGCUCCCCGACUGAGCACCUUGUGACCCCCGCCCCUGCCCACCAGAGAACAACCCCCUUUGACUGUAAUUUUCCAUUACCUUCCCAAAUCCUAUAAAACGGCCCCACCCCUAUCUCCCUUCGCUGACUCUCUUUUCGGACUCAGCCCGCCUGCACCCAGGUGAAAUAGACAGCCAUGUUGCUCACACAAAGCCUGUUUGCUGGUCUCUUCACACUGACUCGAGUGAAAUUUGGUGCCGUGACUAGGAUCGGGGGACCUCCCUUGGGAGAUCAAUCCCCCGUCCUCCUACACUUUGCUCUGUGAGAAAGAUCCACCUACAACCUCAGGUCCUCAGACCAACCAGCCCAAGAAACAUCUCACCAAUUUCAAAUCCGGUAAGCGGCCUCUUUUUACUCUUUUCUCCAGCUUCCCUCACUGUCCCUCAACCUCUUUCUCCUUUCAAUCUUGGUGCCACACUUCAAUCUCUCCCUUCUCUUAAUUUCAAUUCCUUUCAUUUUCUGGUAGAGACAAAGGAGACACGUUUUAUCCGUGGACCCAAAACUCCGGCGCCAGUCACGGACUGGGAAGGCAGCCUUCCCUUGGUGUUAAAUCACUGCAGGGACGCCUCUCUGAUUAUUCACCCAUGUUUCAAAGGUGUCAGACCACGCAGGGACGCCUGCCUUGGUCCUUCACCCUUAGUGGCAAGUCCUGCUUUUCUGGGGAAGGGGCAAGUACCCCAACCCCUUCUCUCUGUGUCUCUACCCCUUCUCUGCUUUUCUGGGGGAGGGGCAAGUACCCCUCAACCCCUUCUCCUUCACCCUUAGUGACAAGUCCUGCUUUUCUAGGAGGCAAGAACCCCCAAUCCCUUAUUUCCACACCCUGACCUCUUAUCUCUGUGCCCCAAUCCCUUAUUUCCACACCCCAACCUCUUAUCUCUGUGCCCCAAUCCCUUAUUUCCGUGCCCCAACCCCCCUUCCCACUUUUCUGGAGGAUAAGAACCCCCGAACCCCUUCCCUCCGUGUCUCUAUGCUCUCUUUUCUCUGGGUUUGCCUCCUUCACUAUGGGCAACCUUCCACCUACCAUUCCUCCUUCUUCUCCUUUAGCCUAUAUUCUUAAGAAUUUAAAACCUCUUCAACUCUCACCUGACCUAAAAUCUAAGCAUCUUAUUUUCUUCUGCAAUGCCACUUGACCCCAAUACAAACUUGACAGUAGUUCCAAAUAGCCAGAAAAUGGCACUUCCAAUUUUUCCAUCCUACAAGAUCUAAAUAAUUCUUUUCGUAAAAUGGGCAAAUGGUCUGAGGUGCCUGACAUCCAGGCAUUCUUUUACACAAUAGUCCCUUCCUAGUCUCUGUGCCCAGUGCAACUUCUCCCAAAUCUUCCUUCUUUCCCUCCUGCCUGUCCCCUCAGUCCCAACCCCAAGCAUCGCUGAGUCUUUCUAAUCUUCCUUUUCUACAGACCCAUCUGACCUCUCCCCUCCUUGCCAGGCCAAGCUACGUCCCAAUUCUUCCUCAGCCUCCGCUCCUCCACCCUGCAAUCUUUUUAUCACCUCCCCUCCUCACACCUGGUCCUGCUUACAGUUUCAUUCUGUGACUAGCCCUCCCCCACCUGCCCAGCAAUUUACUCUUAAAAAAGUGGCUGGAGCCAAAGGCAUAGUCAAGGUUAAUGCUCCUUUUUCUUUAUGCCAAAUCAGAAGUGUUUAGGCUCUUUUUCAUCAAAUAUAAAAACCCAGCCCAGUUCAUGGCUCGUUUGGCAGCAACCCUGAGACGCUUCACAGCCCUAGACCCUAAAAGGUCAAAAGGCCAUCUUAUUCUCAAUAUACAUUUUAUUACCCAAUCUGCUCCUAACAUUAAAUAAAACCCCAAAAAUUGGAAUCUGGUCCUCAAACCCCACAACAGGACUUAAUUAACCUCACCUUCAAGGUGUACAAUAAUAAAAAAAAGUUGCAAUUCCUUGCCUCCACUGUGAGACAAAGCCCAGCCACAUCUCCAGCACACAAGAACUUCCAAACCCCUGAACUGCAGCAGUCAGGCAUUCCUCCAGAACCUCCUCCCCCAGGAGCUUGCUACAAGUGCCAGAAAUCUGACCACCAGGCCAAGGACUGCCGGCAGCCCAGGAUUCCUCCUAAGCCACGUCCCAUCUGUGUGGGACCCCACUGCAAAUCGGACUGUUCAACUCACCUGGCAGCCACUCCCAGAGCCCCUGGAACUCUGGCCCAAGGCUCUCUGACUGACUCCUUCCCAGAUCUUCUCGGCUUAGCGGCUGAAGACUGACACUGCCCGAUUGCCUCGGAAGCCCCCUAGACCAUCAUGGACGCCGAGCUUCAGGUAACUCUCACAGUGGAAGGUAAGCCCGUCCCCUUCUUAAUCAAUAUGGAGGCUACCCACUCCACAUUACCUUCUUUUUAAGGGCCUAUUUCCGUUGCCUCCAUAACUGUUGUGGGUAUUGACGGCCAGGCUUCUAAACCUCUUAAAACUCCCCAACUCUGGUGCCAACUUAGACAAUACUCUUUUAAGCACUCCUUUUUAGUUAUCCCCACCUGCCCAGUUCCCUUAUUAGGCUGAGACACUUUAACUAAAUUAUCUGCUUCCCUGACUAUUCCUGGACUACAGCUAUAUCUCAUUGCCGCCCUUCUUCCCAAUCCAAAGCCUCCUUUGCAUCCUCCUCUUGUAUCUCCCCAACUUAACCCACAAGUAUAAGAUACCUCUACUCCCUCCUUGGUGACCGAUCAUGCACCCCUUACCAUCUCAUUAAAACCUAAUCACCCUUACCCCACUCAACGCCAAUAUCCCAUCCCACAGCACGCUUUAAAAAGAUUAAAGCCUGUUAUCACUGGCCUGCUACAGCACAGCCUUUUAAAGCCUAUAAACUCUCCUUACAAUUCACCCAUUUUACCUGUCCUAAAACCAGACAAGCCUUACAACUUAGUUCAGGAUCUAUGCCUUAUCAACCAAAUUGUUUUGCCUAUCCACCCCGUGGUGCCAAAACCAUAUACUCUCCUAUCCUCAAUCCCUGCCUCUACAACCCAUUAUUCUGUUCUAGAUCUCAAACAUGCUUUCUUUACUAUUCCUUUGCACCCUUAAUCCCAGCCUCUCUUCGCUUUCACUUGGACUGACCCUGACACCCAUCAAGCUCAGCAAAUUACCUAGGCUGUACUGCCGCAAACCUUCACAGACAGCCCCCAUUAUUUCAAUCAAGCCCAAAUUUCUUCCUCAUCUGUUACCUAUCUUGGCAUAAUUCUCAUAAAAACACACAUGCUCUCCCUGCCAUUCUUGUCAGACUGAUCUCUCAAACCCCAGCACCUUCUACAAAACAACAACUCCCUUCCUUCCUAGGCAUAGUUGGUGCAGUCAGAAUUCUUACACAAGAGCCAGGACCGCACCCUGUAGCCUUUCUGUCCAAACAACUUGACCUUACUGUUUUAGCCUAGCCCUCAUGUCUGCGUGCAGCGGCUGCCGCUGCUUUAAUACCGUUAGAGGCCCUAAAAAUCACAAACUAUGCUCAACUCACUCUCUACAUUUCUCAUAACUCCCAAAAUCUAUUUUCUUCCUCAUACCUGAUGCAUAUACUUUCUGCUCCCUGGCUCCUUCAGCUGUACUCACUCUUUAAGUCCUACAAUUACCAUUGUUCCUGGCCCGGACUUCAAUAAGGCCUCUCACAUUAUUCCUGAUACCACACCUGACCCCCAUGACUGUAUCUCUCUGAUCCACCUGAUAUUCACCAUUUCCCCAUAUUUCCUUCUUUCCUGUUCCCCACCCUGAUCACGCUUGAUUUAUUGAUGGCAGUUCCACCAGGCCUAAUCGCCACACACAAGCAAAGGCAGGCUAUGCUGUAGUACAAGCCACUAGCCCGCCUCUCAGAACCUCUCAUUUCCUUUCCAUCCUGGAAAUCUAUCCUCAAGGAAAUAACUUCUCAGUGUUCCAUCUGCUAUUCUACUACUCCUCAGGGAUUAUUCAGGCCCCCUCCCUUCCCUACACAUCAAGCUUGAGGAUUUGCCCCCACCCAGGACUGGCAAAUUAGCUUUACUCAACAUUCCGGAGCCAGGAAACUAAAAUACCUCUUAGGCUGAAUAGACACUUUCACUGAAUAAGUAAAGGCCUUUCCUACAGGGUCUGAGAAGGCCACCGCAGUCAUUUCUUCCCUUCUGUCAGACAUAAUUCCUCAGUUUAGCCUUCCCACCUCUAUACAGUCUGAUAACAGACCAGCCUUUAUUAGUCAAAUCAGCCAAGCAGUUUUUCAGGCCCUUAGUAUUCAGUGAAACCUUUACAUCCUUUACGGUCCUCCGUCUUCAAGAAAAGUAGAAUGGACUAAAGGUCUUUUAAAAACACACCUCACCAAGCUCAGCCACCAACUUAAAAAGGACUGGACAAUACUUUUACCACUUUCGCUUCUCAGAAUUCAGGCCUGUCCUCAGAAUGUUACAGGAUACAGCCCAUUUAAGCUCCUGUAUAGAUGCUCCUUUUUAUUAGGCCCCAGUCUCAUUCAACACCAGACCAACUUAGACUGUGCCCCAAAAAAACUUGUCAUCCCUACUAUCUUCUGUCUAGUCAUACUCCUAUUCACCAUUCUCAACUACUCAUACAUGCCCUGCUCUUGUUUACACUGCCGGUUUACACUGUUUCUCCAAGCCAUCACAGCUGAUAUCUCCUGGUGCUAUCCCCAAACUGCCACUCUAAACUCUUGAAGUAAAUAAAUAAUCUUUGCUGGCAAGGCUAGGCUGAACCUCCUUGGGCACUCUCUAAUCAGAUGUCCUAGGUCCUCCCAAUUCUUAGACCUUUUAUACCUGUUUUUCUCCUUCUCUUAUUCCAUUUAGUUUUUCAAUUCAUACAAAACCGUAUCCAGGCCAUCACCAAUCAUUCUAUACGACAAAUGUUUCUUCUAACAACCCCACAGUAUCACCCCUUACCGCAAGAUCUUUCUUCAGCUUAAUCUCUCCCACUCUAGGUUCCCACACCGCCCCUAAUCCCACUCAAAGCACCCCUGAGAAACAUCGCCCAUUCUCUCUCCAUACCACCUGCAAAAAUUUUCGCCGCCCCAACACUUCAACACUAUUUUGUUUUAUUUUUCUUAUUAAUAAAAGAAGGCAGGAAUGUCGGGCCUCUGAGCCCAAGCCAAGCCAUCGCAUCCCCUGUGACUUGCAUGUAUAUGCCCAGAUGGCCUGAAGUAACUGAAGAAUCACAAAAGAAGUAAAAAGGCCCUGCCCUGCCUUAACAGAUGACAUUCCACCAUUGUGAUUUGUUCCUGCCCCACCUUAGCUGAGUGAUUAACCCUGUGAAUUUCCUUCUCCUGGCUCAGAAGCUCCCCGACUGAGCACCUUGUGACCCCCGCCCCUGCCCACCAGAGAACAACCCCCUUUGACUGUAAUUUUCCAUUACCUUCCCAAAUCCUAUAAAAUGGCCCCACCCCAUGUCCCUUCGCUGACUCUCUUUUUGGACUCAGCCCGCCUGCACCCAGGUGAAAUAGACAGCCAUGUUGCUCACACAAAGCCUGUUUGCUGGUCUCUUCACACGGACUCGAGUGAAAAUACACACGCACACACACACAAAUGGACAUUUACCCCACUCCUGCUUUUGUGCUAUUGUGGUCAUGCAUAGUAUUUCUUUUUUGCUGUUGUUUUUCUUGUUGUUUUCACUGUCAUACAGGUAUUUAUGAUGGAAACAGAAUCAGAGUCUGACCUUCCUGACUUGAAGUACAAGGUUUUUGGGGUUUUUCAUUCGUGUUUUAUGUGUUUUUUAAAAAAUUAUUUGUGUUUUUAAUCGACAAAUAAAAACUGUAUACACAUAUGCUUCCUGAUUUAUAAUGGGGAUACAUCCCAAGAAACCUACUGUAAGUUGAAAAUAAUGUAAGUCAAACAUGCACUUAGUAAACCUAGCUUACCAAACAUCAUAGCUUAACCUAGCCUAGGUUAAACAUUCGUGGGACACUUACAUUAGUCUACAGUUAGGCAAAAUCAUCUAAUACAUAGCCUACUUUCUAAUAAAGUUAUUAGAAAGGAUUUUUAUUCAAAAAUCAAAAUAUGGUUUCUACUUAAUGUUUAUUGCUUUCACAUCAUCGUAAAGUGGAAAAAUAUAGGUCAAGCCAUCGUAAGUCAAGGAAUGUUGGUAUAUCGUAAUGGUGUACAUGAUAUUUUGAAAUAUGUAUACUUUAAUAGCUAUAGUGAGCUAAUUAACAUAUGAAUUGCCUCACAUUCUUAUCAUUUAUUUGUGGUGAGUAGAUAUAAAAUCUACUCUUUUAGCAAUUUUUAAGUAUGCAAUACACUAUUGGAAGGGUCUCUGGCUAAGUUAGUUUUCUUUCUGAACGGACAUUUCUCACUAACAAGUGCAGAAAUUCCCUGUGAACAGGGGAAGCGGUAAUGCUGACAACAAAACUCAGAUGUAAAUUUAGAAUAAAAAAGGGCUCAUGGUUGACUGCUUUGGGCUAUACUUCCAUAAUCUCUCAAAAAAAAAGUAAGGUAUUGUCCUCUGGAGUAUUUUGAUGGAAAAUUUUAGGAAGACUUGAUAAUCUGUAAAAGUUGUAGGCUUGAGAUCCUAAAAGAUCUGUAUCUAAAUUCAUGUAUUCUACAGAAGUUUACUUAAUUACUCCAGGUUUAUUUUUCCUUACUUGUGAGGUAAAUGUUGUAAUACACAUCUACCUCACAAAGGUGUUGUGAGAAUUCAAUGAUAUGUUAUUUAUAAAGAAAGUAUUGAUUACCUUCCUUCUGUCCCAGUGAUAGAUCACAACAAGAGAUCAUGAAGAGGGCAUGGCCGCCAUGUCAUUCUGGAGAGAGACAGAGUAAAACAAAGAAGGUGAUGGGUAAAGCGCAGUCGCCUGCUAUAUAUUGUCUAUUUUUGGUUUUUCACUUACCUUUUAUAUUUAUGCCUUUUAUGUACAACAGGAUUAUAAGCAGCUUGAGUCCAGUGAAUAUACCAUUUCAUUUUGCUAUCCUUCACUGCACUUAGCUUAGAGGAAAUAAUCACAGCUUAUUAUUGAUUAAUUAAUUAAUAGAUGAAUGGUGAACAGAUGAUUAUCAUCCCAAGAAAUGGGAUUUUUUUAAUUCUGGGCAACUAGGAAAGUUUUUAGCUACAGAGAAAUAUUGACAUGGGCAACAACUUCAUCUUACAGCAAAAAGUCCUUUUUUUUUUUUUUUUUUUCUUUUUGGAGACAGAGUCUUGUUCUGCAACCCAGGCUGGAGUGGAGGGCAGUGGUGUGAUCUCGGCUCACUUCAACCUCCGCCUCUUAGGUUCAAGUGAUUCUCCUGCCUCAGCCUCCCGAGUAGCUGGGACUACAGCAGCCUCUCUACAAGUCUCCUAACUUAACCUGAUGGGAAAACACUUCCUACCACUAACAGCAUCUACUUGAUUACUGAUACUUUGAUCAUGGAGUUUGGGCAUGCCACUUGAUAGAAAUUUGAAGAGCAAUUAUAUUUUUCAAAAAGAGUUUUGAAUAAUGUUAAGAUAGAUUGCAACAUGACUAUCAAUUCUUCCCUUCCCAUCAAAGGAGAGAGUCCGUUUAUCCAGCCUUUGAAUCUUGAUUAUUCAUGUGACUUGCUUCACCCAAUGUAACAUUAAUAAGCACAAUACAAGCAGAGGCUUGCCAAGAACUUGGUUUGUUUCUAAUGCUUAGAAGAAGAAUGGUGUAUGCCAUAUUUCUGCAUUUAGAACUCACGUGGAGACAUGUGUGGCCCAAUUGCUUCUCUUUCAUCUCAGGCAAUAACCAGACACGGGACUGAGGCCAUCCAUGACCAGCCAGCCCUAGCCAACACACAACACACAAGCUGAUCACAGAUGCAUGAGUAAGCCUGAGACCAGCCAAGACCAGCCUAGAAUAGAACUGCUCAGCAGCAAUAAAAACUAAAUAAAUUGUUACCUUAAGCUACUUUUAGAGCUAUUUGGAAGUGUAUUUUUGUGCAGCUAACAUUUACUAGCAGAUAAAAUGGUGAUUGUUUAUCUCUGUUUUAUUGAUGUUUUAAGGAAAUUGUUUCUAUUAAAAGGAAAUAUCUGGUCUUUGUCACGUUAAAUCAGGUUUAGCCUGAAGUUGUCUCCUUAAAUUUGCGGCACAACUCCCACCCUGCAAUACUUCAAAUUGUUUCACCUUUUUUGACAGAACCAAGGUAUAUCUUAAAUGUACUUGAUUGAUGUCUCAUGUCUCCCUAAAAUGUAUAAAACCAAACUGUGCUCUGACUACCUUGGGUACAUGUUCUGAGGGUCUCCUGAAGGCUGUGUCACAGGCCAUGGUCUUUCAUAUUUGGCUUAAAACAAAUCUCUUCAAAUAUUUUAUGUAGUUUGACUCUUUUCCUCAAUAGAACUCAUCAUUUAACCAGUUAAGUAUUUUGAGUUAGUUUGGGAUUAAACACGAGAGUUUUGACAGGGAGCUGAAACAAUAGUAGUUUCAUCAAAAGUUGAUUCUUGGUGCAUGUAAUUUUCUAUUACAGUGAACACAGAUAAUAAUGAUGCAUAUGUCUUUACCUAGAUUAGAGAAAGGAAGAGAAAAAAUAAAAAUUUUGGAAAUGAGAUAAAAAGAUAUUGAUCUCACUGAUGUUUCUGAAUCUAAGACUGAACUCAAUUAUUAGUUGUAUUUACUGCUUAUUAGAUUUACUAAGAAAGUUCUUUAAGGUACUUACAGCCCUAAAAUUAUUUGCAAUAUUCAAUAGCAAGGGACUUAAAUACAGUCCUGAUUACUCCAUCACAAAAUGCCAAAAACAAUUAGGAUCUUAAAGGAACUACCCAAAUAGGUUUAAGAUAUCACUCAGGCCAUAAAAAUGUUUUUAAAAUUCACAUCACAAAAUAGCCAAAUGACAUAUCAGAAACAAAAGCAAAAAAGUCAUCCUAAUUCAAGGCAAUUACUUUAGCAAUUCAAAAUAAAAUGUUAAAAGUGACCAAAAAACAAAUGCAAAAUAUUUUAAUGACUUUAAAUGGCUGUAUAAUUUCCUCAUCACUUCACUUGGCAGAGUUAAGAUGGCAUUUAACCUAAGUUCACAUCAUUAAAAAAAACACUGCACCAUGAUGCUUUUCUUAAUAUGCAUUCUCAAAUUAGCAUACAGAGAAAAAUGAAACUAUAGUAGAGACGUAAAUUUAAUCCCUAUUUAGGUCACUAGGCAUUUAUUAGCCCCACCACAGGUUAAUACACUUGCAUUUGCAUCUGUUUCUAAAUGCUAAUUAUCUGACCUCAGAACACUCACUUAUGGGCUUCAUUUAUUGAAAAACAAAUCCCUAUGAUUUGAUCGUAGAGUAACUUUUAAUGUCUAACUUUACGUAGUAUAUUACAGUUUUCAAAACAUUUUUAUAAAAAGUAUUUUGUUUAUUUACAGCAACUAUAUAUCAUAGAUAUUAAUGUGUAUAUUUUGCAUUUAAGCAAGUUGGAGUUCGUAAGGUUGAAUUACUUGAAAUGUACAAAUAGAUAGUAGUGAAUAUUUAAAGUACAUUUUUAAAAAUAUGACCCAGAAAAAUAGGUGGCAUUUAAGAAAUAUAAGCAUGGUAUCUAUCUUACAUGUAUAUUAGGAGUGGACAGUUUUCUAAGAUUAGAAGCAAACAGUUGUCAAGCAAGGGUUCUAAUUUUUGUAAGUCUUGUGGGAAAGAAAGAUAAUAGAGGGUUUCAUUGCAAAGAUAUAAAACUACUCUAGAUAAUUUAAGCAAAAACUAAUCUAAUAAAUUGGGUUUUCCAAAUUAUUGAAACACCUUGAGAACUAGUGCCUGGGUAGGCCUGGAGAAAUGACUCCAGGAACAGCAUUACAGAACUCACCUGCCCAGUGGUAACAGUGCCCAGAUUGCUCUUCUCCAUUAUCCAGCCAGAGUUCCAGAUCAGCCUGAAUACUUCACCUCUGGGAAGACUUUGCAGAACCUCCAGAUUUAUGCCACCUCUAUAACCUGUGUAAUAUUAUUACAAUGCAUAUUAUGUUCUAUUUCACUUACAGUCAGCCCUCCUUAUCUGUGGGUUCCACAAACAUGGAUUCAACCCACAGUAAAAUGAAAAUAUUUGGGGAAAAAAUUAAUGUUUGAGUCUGUAUUGAACACGUAGACUUUUUCUUGUCACUGUUCCCUAAACAAUACAGUAUAACAACUAUUUACAUAGUAUUUACAUUAUAUUGGGCAUUAUAAGUAAUUAAAGAUGAUUUAAGUAUAUGGAAAGAUGUAUAUAGGUUAUAUGCAAGUACUGUGCCAUUUUAUAUAAAGCACUUGAACAUCACAGAUUUUGGUAUCAAUGAGGGGUGCUGAAACCAAUUGCCCAUGGAUACCAAGAGACAGCUAUAUUUGUUUCAAUGUGUACCUCUCCUUCUAAACUCAGUUCUUAAGCAUAUAGUAUCUUUAUAGCUAUACACCUAGUGUCUAUCAGACCCUAAACUAUGGUAGGCCCUCAAUACAUUUUAUUGUUAUAGGUAGAUAGAUAGGCAUGAGUAGGGCAGGAGAGGGCUCUCCCUCCACCCACUAGAAAUGUCAAGUGAUGUUUUAAAAAUUGUCACACUGCCUCUCAGAAAAUGAUAAUUCAGCAACCGGGGAGAGACAAUCUUCUGAUGGUCCACACCUAUUAACAUUAAAGUGUUAUUAAAGGCAGACCCCAGAAAGAAGAAACUUACUGGGCAUGCACAUUAAGAGAUAAAAACGGCAAAAUAUUAUCUUCCACGUACCCACAACUGGAAAAAAGGAAGAAAGCUUCAGGUGGGCAUAUGUACUCUUCCUAAACACACUGCGCAUGCUCACUUCCCAACUGUAGAGAGGGCUCUGCACAUACGGGAAGAAUCUCGGGAAAGAGGUGAACCUAUAAAAGGCCAAGAAUCAUGGUUGAACGGGACAUUUGACCUUCUCUCUUAAACCUUCAUGUGCCUGCUUGGGUCUCUUCCAACUGCACCUUCCUUUCUUUCCUGUUCUAAGGCCUUUUUAAAUAAACUUCCACUCAUGCUCUG
rnacentral:lncRNA from 10 species